rnacentral:lncRNA from 1 species
ACGUGAGGCGCACGCGCACAAAGGCUGGGGAGUGCGCGGAGGACCAUCGGCUGCGCCUGCGCAGUUGCUGCGUGAGGCGGGGUCUGCGCCGAGUGGGUGGGGGGUUUCCUUUCCCCGCAGGGCUGGGGGUCCGCUGUUUCCCCGCGCUGCUGCCGAGGCCCCGCCGUCCGCGUCUUGGCCGUGUGUCCACACCCCAGACUGCGGACCGGGGCGCACUCUGUCUUCUUGCGCGGAGCGUCCGAGGCCUGAGGGGGCCAGAAGCAAACUCCAGCCCUCCCUGGGUCUACUGCUCGCUGAGGAAGCCGCAGGUGCACACUGGAUCCACAAGGCACAGAACCAUCUUGGCCCUCCGCAAGCCCCCCCCUUCCGCCAGGGCAGACGGCCUCAGGUGACAAUGGGUUUUUCCUUCACUGGAGUUUAAAAUAAACCAGACUCCUCAGCAACUCCUGCUUCCAGAAUCAAAAAUAAGUGUCUCUGGGGCCCAAGGUAGGGGGUGAGGGGGACAUACCAGCAGCUUCCACCAGAGGUGGGGAGGGGCAGGGCACCAGCAGAGAAAACAUGCCGGCAAACACACACCGCCUGGGGAAAACCCCCUGAAGCCGAUGGAGACUUGCCUUUGCUCAAGGCCUUUCCUGACAGCUUAGUGGUGGGAGGGGUCCCACCUGGCUCAGCACACACCACCCGCAGGGGCCUCUGCAGCUGUCAGGUCAGCUGUGGGUGCAGAAGCCGAUACUCC